rnacentral:rRNA from 1 species
GACGAACGCUGGCGGCGUGCUUAACACAUGCAAGUCGAACGGAAAGGCCCUGCUUUUGUGGGGUGCUCGAGUGGCGAACGGGUGAGUAACACGUGAGUAACCUGCCCUUGACUUUGGGAUAACUUCAGGAAACUGGGGCUAAUACCGGAUAGGAGCUCCUGCUGCAUGGUGGGGGUUGGAAAGUUUCGGCGGUUGGGGAUGGACUCACGGCUUAUCAGCUUGUUGGUGGGGUAGUGGCUUACCAAGGCUUUGACGGGUAGCCGGCCUGAGAGGGUGACCGGCCACAUUGGGACUGAGAUACGGCCCAGACUCCUACGGGAGGCAGCAGUGGGGAAUAUUGCACAAUGGGCGGAAGCCUGAUGCAGCAACGCCGCGUGCGGGAUGACGGCCUUCGGGUUGUAAACCGCUUUCGCCUGUGACGAAGCGUGAGUGACGGUAAUGGGUAAAGAAGCACCGGCUAACUACGU